AGUUUGAUCAGUGGCUCAGGACGAACGCUGGCGGCGUGCCUAACACAUGCAAGUCGAACGAGGUCCAUCCUUCGGGAGAAGACCUAGUGGCGAACGGGUGAGUAACACGUGAAGAACCUGCCCCGAAGACCGGGAUAACCCUCCGAAAGGAGAGCUAAUACCGGAUACCCCCACCGAACCGCAUGGUUGGUGAGGAAAUGGAUUCCGCUUCGGGAGGGCUUCGCGGCCUAUCAGCUAGUUGGUGGGGUAACGGCCCACCAAGGCAUCGACGGGUAGCUGGUCUGAGAGGACGAUCAGCCGCACUGGGACUGAGACACGGCCCAGACUCCUACGGGAGGCAGCAGUGGGGAAUCUUGCGCAAUGGGCGAAAGCCUGACGCAGCAACGCCGCGUGGGGAUGAAGGCUCUCGGGUUGUAAACCCCUUUCAGCAGGGACGAAUCAAGACGGUACCUGCAGAAGAAGCCCCGGCUAACUACGUG
rnacentral:rRNA from 1 species